rnacentral:rRNA from 1 species
AUUGAACGCUGGCGGCAGGCCUAACACAUGCAAGUCGAGCGGAGCGGCGGACGGGUGAGUAAUGCCUAGGAAUCUGCCUGGUAGUGGGGGAUAACGUCCGGAAACGGGCGUUAAUACCGCAUACUAUCAGCUGCGCCUAGGUCGGAUUCGCUUGUUGGUGUGGUAACGGCUCACCAAGGCGACGAUCCCUAGCUGGUCUGAGAGUAAGACCAGCCACACUGGAACUGAGACACGGUCCAGAACCCUACGGGAGGCAGCAGUGGGGAAUAUUGCACAAUGGGCGCAAGCCUGAUGCAGCCAUGCCGCGUGUAUGAAGAAGGCCUUCGGGUUGUAAAGUACUUUCAGCGGGGAGGCGUUACCCGCAGAAGAAGCACCGGCUAACUCCGUGCCAGCCGCCGCGGUAAUUC